rnacentral:rRNA from 1 species
GAAUCUUGGACAAUGGGCGCAAGCCUGAUCCAGCGGCGCCGCGUGGGUGAUGAAGGCCUUCGGGCUGUAAAGCCCUUUCACCGGGGACGAUGAUGACGGUACCCGGCGAAGAAGCACCGGCUAACUCCGUGCCAGCAGCCGCGGUAAGACGGAGGGUGCUAGCGUUGUUCGGAAUCACUGGGCGUAAAGGGCGCGUAGGCGGCUGUGGCAGUCGGGUGUGAAAGCCCGGAGCUCAACUCCGGAACGGCACUCGAGACGCCACGGCUGGAGGCCGGAAGAGGAGGGUGGAAUACCCAGUGUAGAGGUGAAAUUCGUAGAUAUUGGGUGGAACACCGGUGGCGAAAGCGGCUCUCUGGUCCGGACCUGACGCUGAGGCGCGAAAGCGUGGGGAGCAAACAGG